UACGUAGGGUCCGAGCGUUAUCCGGAAUUAUUGGGCGUAAAGAGCUCGUAGGCGGUUUGUCGCGUCUGCCGUGAAAGUCCGGGGCUCAACUCCGGAUCUGCGGUGGGUACGGGCAGACUAGAGUGAUGUAGGGGAGACUGGAAUUCCUGGUGUAGCGGUGAAAUGCGCAGAUAUCAGGAGGAACACCGAGUGGCGAAGGCAGAUCUCUGGGCCGUAACUGACGCUGAGGAGCGGAAAGCAUGGGGAGCGAACAGG
rnacentral:rRNA from 1 species